AACGAACGCUGGCGGCAUGCCUAACACAUGCAAGUCGAACGAGACCUUCGGGUCUAGUGGCGCACGGGUGCGUAACGCGUGGGAACCUGCCCUUAGGUUCGGAAUAACUCCCCGAAAGGGGUGCUAAUACCGGAUAAUGUCUUCGGACCAAAGAUUUAUCGCCUUUGGAUGGGCCCGCGUUGGAUUAGCUAGUUGGUAGGGUAAAAGCCUACCAAGGCGGCGAUCCAUAGCUGGUCUGAGAGGAUGAUCAGCCACACUGGGACUGAGACACGGCCCAGACUCCUACGGGAGGCAGCAGUGGGGAAUAUUGGACAAUGGGCGAAAGCCUGAUCCAGCAAUGCCGCGUGAGUGAUGAAGGCCUUAGGGUUGUAAAGCUCUUUUACCCGGGAUGAUAAUGGCAGUACCGGGAGAAUAAGCUCCGGCUAACUCCGUG
rnacentral:rRNA from 1 species